rnacentral:rRNA from 1 species
GAUGAACGCUGGCGGCGUGCCUAAUACAUGCAAGUCGAGCGAACAGACGAGGAGCUUGCUCCUCUGACGUUAGCGGCGGACGGGUGAGUAACACGUGGAUAACCUACCUAUAAGACUGGGAUAACUUCGGGAAACCGGAUCUAAUACCGGAUAAUAUAUUGAACCGCAGGGUUCAAUAGUGAAAGACGGUUUUGCUGUCACUUAUAGAUGGAUCCGCGCCGCAUUAGCUAGUUGGUAAGGUAACGGCUUACCAAGGCGACGAUGCGUAGCCGACCUGAGAGGGUGAUCGGCCACACUGGAACUGAGACACGGUCCAGACUCCUACGGGAGGCAGCAGUAGGGAAUCUUCGGCAAUGGGCGAAAGCCUGACGGAGCAACGCCGCGUGAGUGAUGAAGGUCUUCGGGUCGUAAAACUCUGUUAUUAGGGAAGAACAAAUGUGUAAGUAACUAUGCACGUCUUGACGGUACCUAAUCAGAAAGCCACGGCUAACUACGUG